rnacentral:piRNA from 1 species
UCUUGACAUUCCAUAAUCCUU